rnacentral:rRNA from 1 species
UACGUAGGGGGCGAGCGUUGUCCGGAUUUAUUGGGCGUAAAGGGCUCGCAGGCGGCCUGAUUAAGUCGUGCGUGAAAUCUCCCGGCUCAACUGGGAGCGGUCGUGCGAUACUAGUCGGCUUGAGGCCGGUAGGGGGAAGCGGAAUUCCCGGUGUAGUGGUGGAAUGCGUAGAUAUCGGGAGGAACACCAGAAGCGAAGGCGGCUUCCUGGACCGGUCCUGACGCUCAGGAGCGAAAGCGUGGGUAGCGAUCCGG